AAGGCUAUACUUCACAGGAUCAUUUCUGUAGUCUGUCUUUCUGUCUUCAUUUAUUGCCAUUUGAUUUGUGGUAUUUUACGGUAAA
rnacentral:snoRNA from 1 species